UCGUGCCGCUGUCCUACAUUCAGGGACUGUCCCAUCGCAACCUGCUGGGGGAGGACUACACCGACUGCUCCUUCAUCUUCCUCUACAUCCUCUGCCCCAUGUCUAUCCGACAGAACAUCCAGAAGAUGCUUGGCUUGGCGCCCUCCAGAGCUGCAACCAAACAGGCUGGAGGCUUCCUGGGACCUCCUCCUCAGACGGCCAAGUUUUCCUGAUCGGCCAGAGGUCACGGCCCCCUCUGCACGGCGCAGACAAGACCUACAUGCUGGAGCAAACAUCAAGUGCAGCUGCUGCACUGCUCAUUCACGUCCUCUAACUUAACCCUGGUCUUCAUUAGAAAUUAGGAGAAGUUCUUAAAAUUCUGUUAAUUAUCAAAAGUAAUAAACAUCUAGAGUGUG